UACGGGGGGUGCGAGCGUUGUCCGGAAUCACUGGGCGUAAAGGGCGCGUAGGUGGUUUGAUAAGGGUGUGGUGAAAGUCCGGGGCUCAACCCCGGAUCUGCCGUGCCGACUGUCAAACUCGAGGGCUGUAGAGGCAGACGGAAUUCCGGGUGUAGCGGUGGAAUGCGUAGAGAGUCCGGAGGAAGACCGGUGGCGAAGGCGGUCUGCUGGGCAGUUUCUGACACUGAUGCGCGACAGCGUGGGGAGCAACAGG
rnacentral:rRNA from 1 species